UACGGGGGGGGCAAGCGUUGUUCGGAAUUACUGGGCGUAAAGGGCUCGUAGGCGGCCAACUAAGUCGGAUGUGAAAUCCCCAGGCUUAACCUGGGAACUGCAUCCGAUACUGGAUGGCUUGAAUCCGGGAGAGGGAUGCAGAAUUCCAGGUGUAGCGGUGAAAUGCGUAGAUAUCUGGAGGAACACCGGUGGCGAAGGCGGCGUCCUGGACCAACACUGACACUGAUGGGCGAAAGCCAGGGGAGCAAACGGG
rnacentral:rRNA from 1 species